AUGCACGCUGGCGGCGUGCCUAAUCCAUGCAAGUCGCGCGAACGGACGAGAAGCUUGCUUCUCUGAUGUUAGCGGCGGACGGGUGAGUAACACGUGGAUAACCUACCUAUAAGACUGGGAUAACUUCGGGAAACCGGAGCUAAUACCGGAUAAUAUUUUGAACCGCAUGGUUCAAAAGUGAAAGACGGUCUUGCUGUCACUUAUAGAUGGAUCCGCGCUGCAUUGGCUAGUUGGUAAGGUAACGGCUUACCAAGGCAACGAUGCAUAGCCGACCUGAGAGGGUGAUCGGCCACACUGGAACUGAGACACGGUCCAGACUCCUACGGGAGGCAGCAGUAGGGAAUCUUCCGCAAUGGGCGAAAGCCUGACGGAGCAACGCCGCGUGAGUGAUGAAGGUCUUCGGAUCGUAAAACUCUGUUAUUAGGGAAGAACAUAUGUGUAAGUAACUGUGCACAUCUUGACGGUACCUAAUCAGAAAGCCACGGCUAACUACGUG
rnacentral:rRNA from 1 species